rnacentral:lncRNA from 1 species
AAACGGGUCGGGAAAAAUCCCGAGAUACAUUCAAUAAAUAUUAGAAGCUCUCUACUUGCUAGUGACUAAGUCUAACCACCUAACACGCAUCAUUAAGUCACUAAUUUAAUUGUUCUAACAUAAUCUAACCACCUAAUUGCACUUAAUUAAAUCUAACCAACCCUGAGCAUAAUUAGCAAACUAAGAAAGCAUUAGUGAGUAAAACUCA